CCUACGGGAGGCAGCAGUGAGGAAUAUUGGUCAAUGGACGAGAGUCUGAACCAGCCAAGUAGCGUGAAGGAUGACUGCCCUAUGGGUUGUAAACUUCUUUUAUAUGGGAAUAAAAUGUUCCACGUGUGGGAUUUUGUAUGUACCAUAUGAAUAAGGAUCGGCUAACUCCGUGCCAGCAGCCGCGGUAAUACGGAGGAUCCGAGCGUUAUCCGGAUUUAUUGGGUUUAAAGGGAGCGUAGGUGGAUUGUUAAGUUAGUUGUAAAAGUUUGCGGCUAAACGUAAAAUUGCAGUUGAAACUGGCAGUCUUGAGGACAGUAGAGGUGGGCGGAAUUCGUGGUGUAGCGGUGACAUGCUUAGAUAUCACGAAGAACUCCGAUUGCGAAGGCAGCUCACUGGACUGCAACUGACACUGAGGCUCGAAAGUGUGGGUAUCAAACAGGAUUAGAUACCCGAGUAGUC
rnacentral:rRNA from 1 species